rnacentral:rRNA from 1 species
UAGGGAAUCUUCCACAAUGGACGAAAGUCUGAUGGAGCAACGCCGCGUGAGUGAAGAAGGGUUUCGGCUCGUAAAACUCUGUUGUUAAAGAAGAACACGUAUGAGAGUAACUGUUCAUACGUUGACGGUAUUUAACCAGAAAGUCACGGCUAACUACGUGCCAG